GCAUAGUUGAUAACACUUGUAAAAUAUUUGAAAAGACUUUAAUCAUCGGAACAGUGGCUACGUGCCGGUCGGCUAUAUGAUACGAUAAAGCUAGUACGUCUGCUCUCUCCAUACCAUCCGAUUGAACACCAACUUCUGUAGUAUGGAGGCUUCCUGGAACCCAAUUCAAAUUCAAACAAACUUGCAAACAAAACCUCCCCAUUAUCUUCACUGUACCCAUCUUAAUUCUAAAUUGCCAAACCCCACAAUGUGGAUCCGUAGUCAGCACUUUUGAUGGUAGUGGUUCUACAAGAACCAAUUGCCCUCCAGACAGAUCCUGGCCAGAUCCGGUAAGAAAUGAGCCAUAGUCUUGAAUAUCAUAACCAGAGUGGUGGCUGCAUUCUCUACCACCUUUGCUAAUAUCACGACGAUCAGG
rnacentral:lncRNA from 1 species